CAGCAGCCGCGGUAAUACGAAGGGGGCUAGCGUUGUUCGGAUUUACUGGGCGUAAAGCGCACGUAGGCGGACACUUAAGUCAGGGGUGAAAUCCCAGAGCUCAACUCUGGAACUGCCUUUGAUACUGGGUGUCUGGAGUAUGGAAGAGGUAAGUGGAAUUCCGAGUGUAGAGGUGAAAUUCGUAGAUAUUCGGAGGAACACCAGUGGCGAAGGCGGCUUACUGGUCCAUUACUGACGCUGAGGUGCGAAAGCGUGGGGAGCAAACAGGAUUAGAUACCCCAGUAGUCCCUGUCUCUUAUAC
rnacentral:rRNA from 1 species